rnacentral:tRNA from 2 species
ACCAGGAUGGCCGAGUGGUUAAGGCGUUGGACUUAAGUUCAAAUGUACGGAUGUACGCGUGGGUUCGAACCCCACUCCUGGUA